AAAAAGUCAGGGGAAUUCCAGUUACAUGCACUUUCUAUAUUGGAUUGCAAAGUGCCAACGGACCGGUACUCGGCACUUUUCAUGACUAAGUUAUGUUUACAUGUAUCCUGAAACAAGACUAUUAAACCCAAUCACCUUUACCCUUGCUGACUUCCAAUAUUUUCCACAGGAAAAGUUCUCUACACUAAUAAUGGCUUCUGAUCAAGUUUUUGUUUCAUCGUGUGUGUUGUGUUGUGUGUGUGUGUGUGUGUGGGGGGGGGGGGGGGGGGGGGGGUAGGGUAUGUCAACGAUCCCAUGUGAAUGACUUUGACAAGAGAUGGAAAUUUUUCCUGCGAAACAGCAUGUGAAUGGCAACUCAGCAGUUCAAUGAUGGAAUGAUAACAAUAAUCGUUUAUAACUCAAUAUACCGUUUAUUAGCCUGAUUAACACAAUCAAUUAAAUGGUCAGUGAAUAUCUUCUAGUAUAAAGUAAAUAUAUU
rnacentral:sRNA from 1 species